CUACGGUGAAUACGUUCCCGGACCUUGUACACACCGCCCGUCAAGCCAUGGAAGCUGGGUGUACCUAAAGUCGAUAACCGUAAGGAGUCGCCUAGGGUAAACUAGUAACUGGGGCUAAGUCGUAACAAGGUACCC
rnacentral:rRNA from 1 species